UACGGAGGAUCCAAGCGUUAUCCGGAUUUAUUGGGUUUAAAGGGUGCGUAGGCGGUUUUAUAAGUUAGAGGUGAAAAUUCGGGGCUCAACUCCGGACGUGCCUCUAAUACUGUAUGACUAGAGAAUAGAUGCGGUAGGCGGAAUGUAUGGUGUAGCGGUGAAAUGCGUAGAUAUACGGAGGAACACCAGUGGCGAAGGCGGCCUGCUGGACAUUAACUGACGCUGAGGCGCGAAAGCGUGGGGAGCAAACAGG
rnacentral:rRNA from 1 species